rnacentral:lncRNA from 1 species
UACGUCUUCCUAUGCUUCCUCAGUUUUCUUACAAAUUUAGAUUUUCAUGUGUUAUCAAUCUCGCCAUUAUCAUAAUUUAUAGACUUUUAUGGUGUAUAUGUGUAAUACUAAUGUGAAAUCAUUUAUAAAUUUAUAUAUAGGAGCUUAUACUACGCCGCCAGUGUCUACCGGUCCCUACGUGGCACCACCACCUCUAGGUUACCCUACAAACGACACAAGUUAUGCAACGGCGGCUCCAGUCGAGACAAAGACUAAGGGUGAUGGAUUCUUGAAAGGCUGGUUAGUCUCUCUUUCUCCUUUGAGAAACUUUGAUUUUAUUUAUUUAUUUAUUUAACUGUUAUAUGUUAUGGAAGCUCAACGUGACAGGUCCUGCUUGCUCGUUUGGUUAAUAUAAACUAACCUGAUCGGUUAUUGUGUGUUGACACUUAAAAAGGCUGAUAAUAUUUUUUUCUGUUGUUCUAUUAAUGCAGUCUUGCGGCCAUGUGUUGCUGUUGCGUCCUCGACGCCUGCUUCUGAGCUCGGAGGGCUUCGAUGGUGUUUAUUUGAUUGUUUUAUGCAAAUUUAUCUAUGAUUGUAUUUUGCUUUUACCCAAAUUUAUAUUUUGGUGUUCGAUUAGCUAGCUUUUGUCUUUUGAUAUUUGGUGUAUAUCUAUUUGUUGAUUCAUUUCCUUAAUUAUAACUCUUUGGUUUGAAUUGCGGAAUUUAUUAUCUUAAUAUAUCAAUCUUAUUAGUUUUUACACAUACAGUACAUCCCAUAAAUCAUAUGCUAGAUUACAGUGUUGACUUUAUUACCGCUUAGUCAACUUGAACUCGAAAUCAAUAUACAACUAUACAAGUACACUAUUAAGUCAAACAAGUUUUUAAUAAAAGGGAAACUAAACUAUAUACGUAUGUACUUAUUGGGGUGAGAUUACAAACACUGAAACCCCCUAAAAGUCACUAACACAAAAAUCGAAGGUGAAUCCGGACAAAAAUAAGGACAAUGACUGAAAUGUAUAACGCCGGUAAAACUGCGGUGAUUGUAAAAUCCAUCGACUAUGGUCACGACCAAAAAAUCCUUCAGUUUACUGUCUGCUUGUUGGAUCCAAAUGUUUUAAAUAGGAUUGUCUUUUUUUUUUUACGUGAAGAUUUAACCAUAUUUUUAAUUUUUUUGUUAAAAAUGUACUUGUUCAAGUUUUUUUUAGUGAAAGUCAAGAUUUAUAGUGAAAAUAUAUUUACAUGCAAAAAUGCUUGCUUUGGCUAGAAGUAUCGGCGUCGAUGAAAUGAAAACCAUAUACAUCGUCUGAUAAGUAUAUACGAAUUUCUCUAUUGCAAACUUUUUCAAUCUUCAUCAUCACUUUCGAGUUUCGACAGAACCAACUCAAAUUGAUUUUUACAAUUUGACUUCAUCACUUUGAACAGGUUUACUAAUUUCUUCUUGUUAAUAAGGGAAAAAUUUUAUAAUAUAUAAAAUCCAUAUCAUGUAAGAGUAUUCAAUAUUUAAUACUAAUAAUUUCAAUAUAAAAAACUAUGGAAUAAAACAUAUAUUUUCAUUUAUUUGUUAUAUUACAAAUAAAUUAAAUUAAAAAAAUCAGCUAAAAUAUUUAAAUUAAAUUGGAUACUUCCGUCGUGGCCGUUAUCUCGAGGGUCGUCGCUGGAAUAAAUAUAGGGAGACUUAAGCAGUUAAUGAUAUCUGCCCUUGCCCUCACGCGGUUCCUACUAAUACGACCCUUGUCUUAUUAAUUCUUCUUCCCUACUACUAUAUAUCUUCAGUUACAUAUAUCAUUUCAAUUCAUAUCAUCUCUUCUUACAUACUCUUAUCCUCUACAUAUACUUUCAAAGAAGAAUCUUAAUUAUUCUGUUCGAAGAUGAGCCAAUCCAGCCAAGACCAAUCUGCAGGUUUGGUUUUAUAUUUCUUUUCUCUUUUUUUUUUACUACAAAAUUAGCAUCUUGUCAUGUGUCAUCAAUCUCGUCAUGCAAACAUCAUAGUUCUAGUGUUUUAUUGUUAUAAACCUUAAAUGUCAAAUAUGUGUGUUACUUAGGAGCUUAUCCUCAGCCGCCAGUGUGUACUGGUCCCUUCGUGGCACCACCACCGCUCGGUUACCCAACGAACGACACAAGUCAUGCGACUCAUCAUGCCACUGCGGCUCCGGUCGAGACAAAAUCUAAGGGUGAUGAUUUCUUGAAAAGCUGGUUAGUUUUUCUCUCUGUCUUAUUCUUUUUUUUUUCAAAAUUUUUUACGGUGGCUCAGUCAAAUAUUGAACCGGAUAGGUUUUUGUGUGUUGAAACUUGAC